rnacentral:tRNA from 1 species
CCUGGUGGCUCAGACGGUAAAGAAUUUGCCUGCAAAGCAUAAGACCCAGGUUCAAUCCCUGGGUCAGGA